rnacentral:siRNA from 1 species
AAUGGUAGUCAACGCUUAGUUCAU